GUCCUGGCAGUAAACGGUGCACAUUUGGUGUGGGCGCAAUCGACCGCGUCCGCGCCGUAGCUAACGCGUUAAAUGUGCCGCCUGGGAAGUACGGUCGCAAGAUUAAAACUCAAAGAAAUUGACGGGGACCCGCACAAGCGGUGGAGUAUGUGGCUUAAUUCGAUGCAACGCGAAGAACCUUACCUGGUCUUGACAUGCAUUGUGUCCACGGUGAAAGCCGUGUAGGGUAGCAAUACCCGCUUUGCACAGGUGCUGCAUGGCUGUCGU
rnacentral:rRNA from 1 species